rnacentral:rRNA from 1 species
GAUGAACGCUAGCGGCAGGCCUAAUACAUGCAAGUCGAACGGUGUCUUCGGAGAUAGUGGCGCACGGGUGCGUAACACGUAUGCAACCUACCUUACAUUGGGGGAUAGCCUUUCGAAAGGGAGAUUAAUACCGCAUAAGACAGUAGCUGGGCAUCCAGCAGCUGUUAAAGAUUUAUCGAUGUAAGCUGGGCAUGCGGCCAAUUAGCUAGGUGGUGAGGUAACGGCUCACCAAGGCAAUGAUUGGUAGGGGAACUGGGAGGUCAAUCCCCCACACUGGCACUGAGAUACGGGCCAGACUCCUACGGGAGGCAGCAGUAGGGAAUAUUGGGCAAUGGACGCAAGUCUGACCCAGCCAUGCCGCGUGCAGGAUGAAGGCGUUAUGCGUUGUAAACUGCAUUUAUACAGGAAGAAACGACUCUUGCGAGAAGCAUUGACGGUACUGUAUGAAUAAGCACCGGCUAACUCCGUGCCAGCAGCCGCAGUAAGAC